ACUCAUUGGGAGGUACCAGGAUCCUUGAUGUCCUGACUUUCUGUCCUUCCUCGAGUCUAACUAUUCAUGGACAGAGAAGACUGGGUCCUGGAGGGGCUGUGAGGGAGGAGCAAGAAGCACUGUGGACAGGCAGCUCUUGUUGAGCACCAGGCACCAGGCACAGGUCUGUAGGAAGUGAGUGCUGGGUGGGAGCUGUCUGCAGCUCCUUGAGCUGGGACUGAAGAGAUGUACCAACGCCUCCAAGCUUUCAGGUCUGUGCUCCUCCGUCCUGCACUGAAAUAGCAGGAUUUUGUUCUGCAUACCCCCAAGAGACCACGCUAUUUUAUUGCAUGAAGCUCUGCUCAGACCACAAAAGCUCUGAUGAAAAACUGAAAGCAACUGAAAGUUCUCUGAGACAUGUGAGCC